rnacentral:rRNA from 1 species
AGGGUGCGAGCGUUAAUCGGAAUUACUGGGCGUAAAAGCGCAUGCAGGUGGUUUGUUAAGUCAGAUGUGAAAAGCCCGGGGCUCAACCUCGGAAUUUGUCAUUUGAAAACUGGCAAAACUAGAGUACUGUAGAGGGGGUAGAAUUUCAGGUGUAGCGGUGAAAAUGCGUAGAGAUCUGAAGGAAUACCGGUGGCGAAGGCGGCCCCCUGGACAGAUACUGACACUCAGAUGCGAAAGCGUGGGGAGCAAACAGGAUUAGAUACCCUGGUAG